AGGAGAAAGAUUACUUUCUUGUGUUAAAAUACUGUUCACGCACACCGUCAAUAUGCUUAAAAUUUUUAAAGCGCUUUCGUUAAUGGAAGUAAUUCUCGAUUAUAGCAACUUUCUUUCGGGUAUUCUUCUAAGUCAAGCUAACUAUGCCCAUGAACUCCCAAUGGAGAAAUGGGAAUUCCUGUUGCAAUUCUAUACUUCCUGUAUUCUGGAUUUUCGCUCUUUCAUUG